AAAAAAAAAAAGUGACUUUUCUAGGCACUGCAAUUCAACAGACAUUCAUUAAACAUUUACUAUGGUCAGCAUUGUGCCAGGAAUGAAAAACUGGAUAUAAACUGGACCCUUUCUUAGGAGCAUCAGAAACUCACUGGCUUCUCAGACUCCCCUGGAGUCCAUCCAUGUGUUCUCAUUUAAGAACUCGUCCCUAAACUUCCAUGGAGAACCGUCACAAAGGAAUCCUAAUUCUCAUACUCUUUGAUAGGCUAAUUCCAAAAUAAAG
rnacentral:lncRNA from 1 species